rnacentral:lncRNA from 1 species
UCCGAUUUUGCUGCACGACCGUUGGCAUGCAUGUUGCGAUGGCAGCUUUGACAUCAUGGUGGCAUUUUGCAAAUGUCUCGCAACGUCGCGCAAUAGCCCAGAGAAUGAAACAGUACCUGAAGCUUCAGGAAAAGGUAAUAGAAAACUUCUAUGCCUAUGGGCAUGUGUUCACUUCAAGCCUGUGAAAUUGCAUGCACAUGUGUAUAAUACAGUUAUCUCUAGUGGUCAGUAUGGUCCAAACUAUUGGUUGAAGUGAAAAUCGUCUCUUCUUGCAGAUUCUACACUUCUGUACUUUUGGAGGUCUUGAAUUAGUCUAUCUCCACAUAUGUUUCUAUAUUUUUUCUGUCGUGGAAAAGAUAUCAAGCAAUUAUAAAUACAGACCGACGUUUGUGCUUAUGUAUGAGAUACAAAUAAAUCAUGUUUGAUUUUGAG